rnacentral:rRNA from 1 species
CAUAUCAAUAAGCGGAGGAAAAGAAACUAACAAGGAUUCCCCUAGUAACGGCGAGUGAAGAGGGAAGAGCCCAAGAUUGAAAGCUGGCGUCUUCGGCGUCCGCAUUGUAAUCUCAAGAAGUGUUUUCCGCUUCGGACCAAGCCUAAGUCCCCUGGAAAGGGGCAUCAUAGAGGGUGAUAAUCCCGUACAUGGCUUGGAGCGCCCGAGGCUUUGUGAUACGCUUUCUAAGAGUCGAGUUGUUUGGGAAUGCAGCUCAAAAUGGGUGGUAAAUGCCAUCUAAGGCUAAAUAUUGGGGAGAGACCGAUAGCGAACAAGUACAGUGAUGGAAAGAUGAAAAGAACUUUGAAAAGAGAGUUAAACAGUACGUGAAAUUGCCAAAAGGGAAGGGUAGGAGGUCAGAGAUGCGGCCUGGGAUUCAGCCUUGCUUUUGCUUGGUGUUUUUCCCAGAUUGCAGGCCAACGUCGGUUUUGGGCACUGGAGAAGGGUAGGAGGAACGUGGCACCCCUCGGGGUGUGUUAUAGCCUCCUACUGGAUACAGCGACCGAGACCGAGGACAGCAGCGUACUCGCAAGAGCGGGCCUUCGGGCACCUUUACGCUUAGGGCGUUGGCAUAAUGGCCCUCUACCAC